UACGUAGGCAGCAAGCGUUGUUCGGAGUUACUGGGCGUAAAGGGUGCGUAGGCGGUCCUAUAAGUAUGGUGUGAAAUCUCCCGGCUUAACUGGGAGGGUGCGCUAUAGACUGUGGGACUAGAGUGUGGGAGAGGAAAGUGGAAUUCCUGGUGUAGCGGUGAAAUGCGUAGAUAUCAGGAGGAACACCGGUGGUGUAAACGCUUUCUGGACCAUAACUGACGCUGGAGGCACGGAAAGCGUGGGUAGCAAACAGG
rnacentral:rRNA from 1 species